rnacentral:rRNA from 1 species
GAGUCUUAACCGGGCGUUAAGUUGCAGGGUAUAGACCCGAAACCCGGUGAUCUAGCCAUGGGCAGGUUGAAGGUUGGGUAACACUAACUGGAGGACCGAACCGACUAAUGUUGAAAAAUUAGCGGAUGACCUGUGGCUGGGGGUGAAAGGCCAAUCAAACCGGGAGAUAGCUGGUUCUCCCCGAAAGCUAUUUAGGUAGCGCCUCGUGAAUUCAUCUCCGGGGGUAGAGCACUGUUUCGGCUAGGGGGCCAUCCCGGCUUACCAACCCGAUGCAAACUGCGAAUACCGGAGAAUGUUAUCACGGGAGACACACGGCGGGUGCUAACGUCCGUCGUGAAGAGGGAAACAACCCAGACCGCCAGCUAAGGUCCCAAAGUCAUGGUUAAGUGGGAAACGAUGUGGGAAGGCCCAGACAGCCAGGAUGUUGGCUUAGAAGCAGCCAUCAUUUAAAGAAAGCGUAAUAGCUCACUGGUCGAGUCGGCCUGCGCGGAAGAUGUAACGGGGCUAAACCAUGCACCGAAGCUGCGGCAGCGAACGUAUCACCCAAGACAACUUUACGGAGUUGACGAUUGACGGAGCGAAGCGACGUCAAAGCGUUCAUUAAAGUCGAGUUGGCUUAGGGAUACGUUCGUUGGGUAGGGGAGCGUUCUGUAAGCCUGUGAAGGUGUGUCGUGAGGCAUGCUGGAGGUAUCAGAAGUGCGAAUGCUGACAUAAGUAACGAUAAAGCGGGUGAAAAGCCCGCUCGCCGGAAGACCAAGGGUUCCUGUCCAACGUUAAUCGGGGCAGGGUGAGUCGACCCCUAAGGCGAGGCCGAAAGGCGUAGUCGAUGGGAAACGGGUUAAUAUUCCCGUACUUGGUGUUACUGCGAAGGGGGGACGGAGAAGGCUAUGUUGGCCGGGCGACGGUUGUCCCGGUUUAAGCGUGUAGGUGUGUGUUCCAGGUAAAUCCGGUUCACUUUAACACUGAGGCGUGACGACGAGGCA